rnacentral:rRNA from 1 species
GAUGAACGCUGGCGGCGUGCCUAAUACAUGCAAGUUGAGCGCACAGACGAGGAACUUGCACCUCUUACAUUAGCAGCGGACGGGUGAGUAACACGUGGAGAACCUACCUAUAAGCCUGGGAUAACUUCGGGAAACCGAAGCUAAUACCGGAUAAUAUCUUUAAACACAUGGUUCAAUAUUGAAAGAUGCAUUUGCUGUCACCUAUGAAGAUCUCGCCGUGUCAUUAGCAAGUUGUUAAGGAAACGCCUAACCAAGGCAACGAUGAGUACCCGACCGGAGAGGGUGAUCGGCCAAACUGGAACUGAACCACGGUCCAGACUCCUACGGGAGGCAGCAGUAGGGAAUUUUCCGCAAUGGGGGAAAGCCUGACGGAGAAACGCGGCGUGAGGAAUGAAGUUCUUCGAAUCGUAAACCUCUGUUAUUAGGGAAGAAGAAAUGUGUAAGUAACUAUGCACGUAUUGACGGUAACUAAUCAGAAAGCCACGGCUAACUACGUG